UAAUCCUUUGUACUGAAUUCAAAAACGUGUUCCUCUGAGUUUGCAGAGAGAGAGAGAGAGAGAGAGAAAGAGAGAGAAAAAAAGGGGGUCGAUCCAGAGUACAGUGGUGAUUCAGUCGGUCGAGAGAGGAAGAAGAGAAGACGAGAUGAGCCCGAUGAGAAUCCCACUCUGAAACCUGCUCCUUUGCAGCCAGGAGCCAACUGCCACAUCCUGCAUUUGAUGCACACAUCCAGAGAAGGAUUUUACUUUUGUCCACACAUCUGCAAGAACAGUUUAAAACACAAAGGUCAUAAUAGUGCCUCAAACCUGGCGUCCCUGAGACCGCAGUAAGCCAGAGUCUGUACUCGCCAGGGUUGGGUGUCAGCCAUGUCUAGGCCUCUUCUCUCAGACCCCCAGGAGAAGCUCCUCAGCCACUCCAUCCUCACCGCAGCCCGGCUGGCCCGCGGAGGAUGGACAGAGGAAGGGAACAAGACAGGGUGGCAAUUUUCCCAUUUUGACUUGACUGAUCAAACCUCUGUCUCCAGACCAGAUGGAAAUCAGGGUCAAAAUUGUGCCGAGAUUCUUGUGAAGGAGCUUGGGAACAUGCAGGUUCACAUCUUAAACAGCAGGAAGACAGCUAAGGAAAGAGUGACUGGCUCUGACCAAAAGGCAGAUGAAGCGAAACACACACAAGCAGAAAGAGAGACGGGUCUCUGCAGUCAGACGGGCGUCUUGGUCUGGGCCUCUGGCUGUCGCCCCACAUGCAGACGCCCCAAAAGGUUUAAGGCCCCGAUACUACCUGUCAUCGCUGAGAUGUAGAACAGCUGCCAUUCGUUCCAGGACAAUGUAAAAAAAAGCAUAUGUACUUAUGGUGCUUUUUGGCUAUGGUAAGAGUUUUAGAAUUUGUGUAGACUUUAAUUCAACCUUGUGUUAAAUGUUAAAUAUCCCUAUAGGACCAUGAAUAAAUGAUCCUUUUAAUGACACAAAAACAAUGUUGUUUUAAACACCUCGUGCCCAUUUGUGAAAAGUAUGCUAAAAGUAUUUUAUAAGAAAUGAAAUGAUAAGAAAUAUGUCUUAUAUUGAACAUCAUUUUUUAUUUCUGAUUUGAUUCCAUUUCAUGAAUUUAUUUGAAAUUAUUUUACUAUUUUAUUAUAAAUCAUGUGACCCAGUCAUGCCAGCUUAGUGCAGUAUUUUAUUACUACAUUUUCAAAUGAAAAUUCUGAAUUUUUUGUUUAAAAUUCUCAUCUUCAUUUCAAAAGACGGUUUGCUACAUUUUUUUUAAUGUAUUUAUUUGACAGGGACAGUGCACAUUGAUUGACAUUUCUGUAAAUGCGCCAGAGUUAGCCAACAGGCUAUUUUUCAUCUGCAGUCCCUGGACAGAUGUUGAAAGUCAUCCUAAAAAAAAAAAUUCACUUCAAAUGAUAAAAAGAUUAUGAUAAAAGCAUCUAUAAAAACAUAAAGACAUAAAAACUAAACUAAAAUACAUAUUCACAAAGCAGACAGAUAGCAACAGGUCAAGGCACAUGUACAAACAGAGCGUUGUAAAGUGCAGAUUGUGUCAGUGUUGACAGAGCUGAUUUUCCACUAACCAUGUUUUUAAGUUAGAUUUAAAUAAACUGCAGGUGUUUUGUUCUCUAAUCUUUACUGGGAUUGAGUUCCACUGUUGUGCAGCUUUAAAA